rnacentral:rRNA from 1 species
UCGAACGGAAACGAUGCUAGCUUGCUAGCAGGCGUUCGAGUGGCGGACGGGUGAGUAAUGUAUAGGGAUCUGCCUGAUAGUGGGGGACAACGUGUGGAAACGCACGCUAAUACCGCAUACGCUCUACGGAGGAAAGCGGGGGCUCUUCGGACCUCGUGCUAUCAGAUGAACCUAUAUCAGAUUAGCUAGUUGGUGAGGUAAUGGCUCACCAAGGCGACGAUCUGUAGCUGGUUUGAGAGAAUGAUCAGCCACACUGGGACUGAGACACGGCCCAGACUCCUACGGGAGGCAGCAGUGGGGAAUAUUGCACAAUGGAGGAAACUCUGAUGCAGCAAUGCCGCGUGUGUGAAGAAGGCCUUAGGGUUGUAAAGCACUUUCAAUAGGGAGGAAAAGUAUAAGUUUAAUACACUUAUGCCGUGACGUUACCUAUAGAAGAAGGACCGGCUAACUCCGUGCCAGCAGCCGCGGUAAUACGGAGGGUCCGAGCGUUAAUCGGAAUUACUGGGCGUAAAGCGCGCGUAGGCGGAUAGAUAAGUCAGAUGUGAAAUCCCUGGGCUCAACCUAGGAACUGCAUUUGAAACUGUCUAUCUAGAGUAUGGUAGAGGUGAGUGGAAUUUCAGGUGUAGCGGUGAAAUGCGUAGAGAUCUGAAGGAACAUCAGUGGCGAAGGCGACUCACUGGGCCAUUACUGACGCUGAGGUGCGAAAGCGUGGGUAGCAAACAGGAUUAGA